rnacentral:rRNA from 1 species
CAACUCUUUGGACACUCGUAUACAGGUGGUGCAUGGUUGUCGUCAGCUCGUGUCGUGAGAUGUUGGGUUAAGUCCCGCAACGAGCGCAACCCUCGUUCUCUGUUGCCAGCACGUAAUGGUGGGAACUCAGGGGAUACUGCCGGGGUCAACUCGGAGGAAGGUGGGGAUGACGUCAAAUCAUCAUGCCCCUUAUGUCUUGGGCUUCACGCAUGCUACAAUGGCCGGUACAAUGGGC